rnacentral:rRNA from 1 species
GACGAACGCUGGCGGCGUGCUUAACACAUGCAAGUCGAACGAUGAAGCCGGAGCUUGCUCUGGUGAAUUAGUGGCGAACGGGUGAGUAACACGUGAGUAACCUGCCCUUGACUCUGGGAUAACUGCGGGAAACUGUAGCUAAUACCGGAUACGACCCUCGGAGGCAUCUCCUGGGGGUGGAAAGAAUUUCGGUCAAGGAUGGACUCGCGGCCUAUCAGCUAGUUGGUGAGGUAAAGGCUCACCAAGGCGACGACGGGUAGCCGGCCUGGGAGGGUGACCGGCCACACUGGGACUGAGACACGGCCCAGACUCCUACGGGAGGCAGCAGUGGGGAAUAGUGCACAAUGGGCGCAAGCCUGAUGCAGCAACGCCGCGUGAGGGAUGACGGCCUUCGGGUUGUAAACCUCUUUUAGCAGGGAAGAAGCGAAAGUGACGGUACCUGCAGAAAAAGCACCGGCUAACUACGUGCCAGCAGCCGCAGUAA